UACGUAGGGGCUAGCGUUAUCCGGAAUUACUGGGCGUAAAGGGUGCGUAGGUGGUUUCUUAAGUCAGAGGUGAAAGGCUACGGCUCAACCGUAGUAAGCCUUUGAAACUGAGAGACUUGAGUGCAGGAGAGGAGAGUAGAAUUCCUAGUGUAGCGGUGAAAUGCGUAGAUAUUAGGAGGAAUACCAGUUGCGAAGGCGGCUCUCUGGACUGUAACUGACACUGAGGCACGAAAGCGUGGGGAGCAAACAGGAUUAGAUACCCCCGUAGUCCCUGAG
rnacentral:rRNA from 1 species